rnacentral:lncRNA from 1 species
CCUUCUAGGACACUUUGAAGUGAUCCUUUUCCCAACUAAGGUCUUUGCAAUGAUCCUUUUCCCAUUGCAAUAUCAAACAAAGAAGAUCCUUUGACAGCCAAAGAGUUCCAACAUAUCCGAAUAAUAGAAAUUCUCAUUACUGCAUUUACUACUCGAUCAUAACAAACAAAAAAUUGUGAACAAAUUGAUGGCACGCCCUAAGUAAUGCCAUAUACAAUGCAGUUAUAC